rnacentral:rRNA from 1 species
UACGGUAGGGUGCAAGCGUUGUCCGGAAUUAUUGGGCGUAAAGAGCUCGUAGGCGGUUUGUCGCGUCGGCUGUGAAAACCCGAGGCUCAACCUCGGGCCUGCAGUCGAUACGGGCAAACUAGAGUGUGGUAGGGGAGACUGGAAUUCCUGGUGUAGCGGUGAAAUGCGCAGAUAUCAGGAGGAACACCGGCGGCGAAGGCGGGUCUCUGGGCCAUAACUGACGCUGAGGAGCGAAAGCGUGGGGAGCGAACAGG